rnacentral:rRNA from 1 species
CAGCACCUCGAGUGGUCAGGAUGAUUAUUGGGCCUAAAGCAUCCAUAGCCGGCUCUGUAAGUUUUCGGUUAAAUCUGUACGCUCAACGUACAGGCUGCCGGGAAUACUGCAGAGCUAGGGAGUGGGAGAGGUAGACGGUACUCGGUAGGAAGGGGUAAAAUCCUUUGAUCUAUUGAUGACCACCUGUGGCGAAGGCGGUCUACCAGAACACGUCCGACGGUGAGGGAUGAAAGCUGGGGGAGCAAACCGGAUUAGAUACCCGAGUAGUCC